rnacentral:rRNA from 1 species
GAUGAACGCUGGCGGCGUGCUUAACACAUGCAAGUCGAACGAAGCAUUUAAAUUAGAUUUCUUCGGAAAGAAGAUUUAAAUGACUGAGUGGCGGACGGGUGAGUAACGCGUGGGUAACCUGCCUUAUACUGGGGGAUAACAGUUAGAAAUGACUGCUAAUACCGCAUAAGCGCACGGCAUCACAUGAUGCAGUGUGAAAAACUCCGGUGGUAUAAGAUGGACCCGCGUCUGAUUAGCUAGUUGGUGAGGUAACGGCUCACCAAGGCGACGAUCCGUAGCUGGUCUGAGAGGAUGAUCAGCCACACUGGGACUGAGACACGGCCCAGACUCCUACGGGUGCAG